UACGGGGGGGGCAAGCGUUGUUCGGAAUUACUGGGCGUAAAGGGCUCGUAGGCGGCCAACUAAGUCAGACGUGAAAUCCCUCGGCUUAACCGGGGAACUGCGUCUGAUACUGGAUGGCUUGAGAUUGGGAGAGGGAUGCGGAAUUCCAGGUGUAGCGGUGAAAUGCGUAGAUAUCUGGAGGAACACCGGUGGCGAAGGCGGCAUCCUGGACCAACACUGACACUGAGGAGCGAAAGCGUGGGGAGCGAACAGG
rnacentral:rRNA from 1 species